rnacentral:rRNA from 1 species
GAUCCUGGCUCAGGAUGAACGCUGGCGGCGUGCUUAACACAUGCAAGUCGAACGAUUGAAGCUGGAGCUUGCUCCGGCCGAUUUAGUGGCGGACGGGUGAGUAACGCGUGGGUAACCUGCCUCAUACAGGGGGAUAGCAGUUGGAAACGACUGGUAAAACCGCAUAAGCGCACGGUAUCGCAUGAUACAGUGUGAAAACACUCCGGUGGUAUGAGAUGGACCCGCGUCUGAUAAG